CCUCCAUUUCUUGGCCUAUAUAUUGUUGCUAAGUACUUGUGUAUGUAAUGUACAGUGGUAGAACAAAACCAAUGCUAUUUCUUUGAUACCCAUGUGGUAUUGUCUGCUGGUCCUAGCUCAAUUGCUGGCACACUU